GAUGAACGCUGGCGGCGUGCCUAAUACAUGCAAGUCGAGCGAACGGACGAGAAGCUUGCGUCUCUGAUGUUAGCGGCGGACGGGUGAGGAACACGUGGAUAAACUAACUAUAAGACUGGGAUAACUUCGGGAAACCGGAGCUAAUACCGGAUAAUAUUUUGAACCGCAUGGUUCAAAAGUGAAAGAAGGUCUUGCUGUCACUUAUAGAUGAAUCCGCGCUGCAUUAGCUAGUUGGUAGAGUAACGGCUUACCAAGGCAACGAUGCAUAGCCGACCUGAGAGGGUGAUCGGCCACACUGUAACUGAGACACGGUCCAGACUCCUACGGGAGGCAGCAGUAGGGAAUCUUCCGCAAUGGGCGAAAGCCUGACGGAGCAACGCCGCGUGAGGGAUGAAGGUCUUCUGAUCGUAAAACUCUGUUAUUAGGGAAGAACAUAUGUGUAAUUACCCGUGCACAUCAUGACGGUACCUAGUCAGAAAGCCACGGCUAACUACGUG
rnacentral:rRNA from 1 species